CGGCUUUAAGGAAUUCAUCGGGGCUCUCCGCUGCCCGUGGAAAUGUCUGUGCGUCCUCCUCCUCCUCUUCCCAGCCCAGUGCCUCACCAGGACCCUGAACAUCAGCAUAGGAACAGGAGGUCCAAAUGCUGUUCCUAAUCAAAGGCAAGAUGCGGCUGCUUGCAAGCACGGGUAGUUACACGCUGCACAGGCGCUGUGCACGGCACUGCAUGCACGGUCCUUCCUCCACUUUCCCUGCAGUGGAAGUUCAGAGAUGUAGAAGAAGACUCAACAAGUGAUGGAGAAGUGUGUUCAGAGUCGUGGGGUUUUCACUUUAAAGACAGUACCGGUUUAGAGUUGUGUGACAAAUAAUAACAGUACAUAAAAACAAAAUAUUUGGCAACACUCCAUCUUGAAAGCUCGAUAGGGAAAAAAAAAAAGUAAACCAACACUGCUUCCGAGGAGUGUCCUAAUGAGUAUAGCAGGAACCAGUUACCCGUUUACACUUUAUGGAAAUGGUUAUUUACACUAUGUCUAAAGCUACUAAAGCUAGGCCUUUUAAAGCUGCUAUUGGUGAGAUGGAACCUAAAGUCUCUGGCUGUUUUUUUUAAAGAAAUCAAGUUAUGACCUCUGGGCAAAAGGCUUGUACCAGCUUAUAUGGUAUCCUAUCUCCUCAUUGAAAAGGGAUUCACAUGGAAAAGAAGGCUAAGUUCCAGGCACCUACAUAGCCCGGUUUUCAGACAUGUUGAGCACGUUCGUUGUGUCUAUGGCUGCUGAGCAACCCUGAAACUUAAGCAGGUGAGUAUGAAUU